AUGAGCCUUUCUUCCUGCACUAAGGUGGGUCUUGUGGCACCAUGACAUGCUCAUACCACUUGGAUGCAGAGCAGCCAUGCUAUGCUGGGUUUGAUGUUCCAUGAAAGUCACACAAGGAACUCACACGUUCAAGUAUCAGACACCAGAAGUGUUCAAUGGGACACUUGUGUCUCAAUCCCCCCUCCCUCUGCCUAGACCCUCUAGGGAAAUCUUACCCACAGUGUAAGUAUGCUGCUCCCAGCCCUGAGAGCGGGGUGGACUAUUUUGAAAGCGAAGUACAAAGAAAUGGCCGUGUAAUUCAGAAGUUGACACUGAGUUCAAGGUAAAGUCUCAGUUUUUCUCUCUUAAAACUAUUCUCUGAAAAGAAUUGUUUAUAAAACGUUCAGGGGAGGAGCUGGUUUCCCCAGUGCCUUUCCCUUCCUCUCAUUUUCCUUCUGUUUCACAAGUAUGUAUUCUGCUCAUUUGCUCACUCAUCCAUUUAUUUAUUCAGUAACCAUGAAACUGCUUGGAUGUGACCGUGUAACUCACAGAGGCAAACCCCCUCAAGGGGCUGAUCAUGGGAUAUAUUCCUGAUGUCCUUUGUCGUCUUCAUGAUCUUGUGGAAAGAAUGAGCCUCCAACCUUAUUUUGCUUGACAAAUUAAACUCACUGGAAUAG
rnacentral:lncRNA from 1 species